CUUUGGCCCGCAAGAGUUCCUGUCUUAAUAGGUACCAUAUGAGCAAAGGCUGGAGUGCAGAGAGCAGCCUGUGGGCUGCGGUAGAUUUAUCUGUCUGGGAGAGAGCAGAAGAUGCUCAGGUUUGAGAGAACCUCUGCUGACCUCUUCUCAUGAAUGCUCACUCCCACUCCAAUUUGAGGUAGUGCAGAGGAGGGCGGAGUGGAGAUUUACACAGUGGUGACAGUCUCGGACCUGUCUAAAGCCUCCAGCUUGAAGCUACAACUUAAAACCGCUUCAGAAACGUUAACCUCUACUAACCCUGUCAAGAGGCAACUGCGUGGAGGCGUUCAUUCUGUAAGAAUCACUUUACCACCCCUCAUUGCUAACUUGAACCACUGAACUCUAUGAAAGGCCAAGCAGGGCAAUUUAAGGCUAUUGAAUGCACACAUUUUCCUGAGGCCAAAAGAUCACCACUUGGAAUUACAGUGGAUUUUGCUUUGCCUCUCAUUUCCAUGUGAAACCUGCCAACAGUUUGAUCUAUGGUUAAAGAGUAGGUGUCAGUGUUGAAGUCAGUAAAGGCAUAACAUUUUGGAUGUAAUUUCCUGCCCUUUUUGUGUUCUGAUAUCAUAACCUCUUAUAGCACAUUCUUGUCCUUACUUUUGAAAUUGAGAUAUUUUAUUUUCCUGUAACAUACAGAUCUCAUGUAGAUUCUUAAAUGCACUGCAAUGUUCAUGUACAGUAUACAGCACACAUCCAGAAGGCUCAGGGAGGAAUACAGAGCUUUAGUAUAUCUGACCUUGGCCAAACCUCCCGCACAGAUGGAAAAGAUCAGUGUCAACACUACGGGCAUUAAAAUUUGAAUCCCUACUUUUUUUUUGUAGUUAUAUUUUCUCUGUGAUUUCUGUUCAUCUCCUGCUGGAAGGUCAAGCUCGGAUUCCUUUUUAAAUAAAAUUUAAAAAUCAUCAUCAUCAUCAUCAUCAAUGUCACCCUUGUGUCUCACCUCUCCUGUAACAGCAUCAGGCCAAGAGAGGUAUACCUCUCCUAACACCACUCCAACGCUCCUGGAGUUUAUUUUGCCUACACCUGACCUCAGCAGUGAUCUGUGG